rnacentral:rRNA from 1 species
AGUGAACGCUGGCGGUAGGCCUAACACAUGCAAGUCGAACGGCAGCACAGUAAGAGCUUGCUCUUACGGGUGGCGAGUGGCGGACGGGUGAGGAAUACAUCGGAAUCUACUUUUUCGUGGGGGAUAACGUAGGGAAACUUACGCUAAUACCGCAUAUGACCUACGGGUGAAAGCAGGGGAUCUUCGGACCUUGCGCGAAUGAAUUAGCCGAUGUCGGAUUAGCUAGUUGGCGGGGUAAAGGCCCACCAAGGCGACGAUCCGUAGCUGGUCUGAGAGGAUGAUCAGCCACACUGGAACUGAGACACGGUCCAGACUCCUACGGGAGGCAGCAGUGGGGAAUAUUGGACAAUGGGCGCAAGCCUGAUCCAGCCAUACCGCGUGGGUGAAGAAGGCCUUCGGGUUGUAAAGCCCUUUUGUUGGGAAAGAAAAGCAGCAGGUUAAUACCCCGCUGUUCUGACGGUACCCAAAGAAUAAGCACCGGCUAACUUCGUG